GAUGAACGCUGGCGGCGUGCUUAACACAUGCAAGUCGAACGGAAAGGCCCAAGCUUGCUUGGGUACUCGAGUGGCGAACGGGUGAGUGACACGUGGGUGAUCUGCCCUGCACUUCGGGAUAAGCCUGGGAAACUGGGUCUAAUACCGGAUAGGACCACUUCUUGGAUGUUGUGGUGGAAAGUUUUUUCGGUGUGGGAUGAGCUCGCGGCCUAUCAGCUUGUUGGUGGGGUAAUGGCCUACCAAGGCGUCGACGGGUAGCCGGCCUGAGAGGGUGUACGGCCACAUUGGGACUGAGAUACGGCCCAGACUCCUACGGGAGGCAGCAGUGGGGAAUAUUGCACAAUGGGCGCAAGCCUGAUGCAGCGACGCCGCGUGGGGGAUGACGGCCUUCGGGUUGUAAACUCCUUUCGCUAGGGACGAAGCGUUUUGUGACGGUACCUGGAGAAGAAGCACCGGCUAACUACGUG
rnacentral:rRNA from 1 species